GGCGAGGAACGGCGGCGGAUGCGCGGGCUGCAGGGCUGCUCCCUUGGAAGGGAGCGGAGGGGACUGGCGGCGCUCGGGCACGGGCAUCGCCGGCAGCGCUCAGCCGUGCCGCGUGGGAUCGCUUGCACCGAGGCAAGCACCCGUUUGGGCGCUCGAGGUGGAGCUAGAGGAGAAAGUCCUCUCCUCCUGACUGGAAAGCAUCCAGAAAAGCUCAGGUGCAGCUCAGAUGCAAGAUGGAGCUCAGCCCUGAGUGAAAACUUCUGGGGAGCGCUGGCUCAAGGGGAGCCGGGACUCUGACAGAAAAGACAGCCGCCUCCAGCCGAGCCCUCCGGUGGGCAAGGGAAUGGCUCCGCAUGCUCUCCGUAACUCAUAUGUGGGAGCGGGGAGAGGGGGGAUGAGUCUGGAGCGCGUCCUUGUGCAGCACCUGGAGCAUCUCUGGAGCAUCUUCGCCAGCUUUGUCCCCCCCUGGGACGACCUGCAAACCUUCAAAUUGCGGAAGCAAUGUUCAGAACGAGUCGUAGGUUCCAAGAGGAGAAAUCCUACGUGUGGGAUUCCUCUGAAACCCAGCGGGAACGGAAAUCGAAAAUGAUCAAAAGAUGCAAAACAUGAUCUGAGACAGCUGGAGGAUUUGCACAAGGAGCUGAAGCAACAUCUGGAAACUUCUAAGAGAGGUUUAUAAGAGGUCACCUGCAGACAAGGAUAAAAGGCUCCAGUGUCCGGAGAGUGUGAAAUCCUCCUGGAAGGUUCCCGGUUUAAAAUGGCAAGAUGGAUCAAAGAGGUGAUCAGCAGCAUGACCGUCGUGGAAAAAAAAUUGCUUUCCAGAAAAUAAGAAACGCAAGAAAAGCUUUGGCCAACUUAUGAGCCACAGCGAACCACAGCAGAGAGUUAAGACGCUGAAAAAUCACUCAGAAAAGGAAAUCAAAGGCUUGUAGGUCACCACAGGAAAUAAACAGCCUCCUGCUGGAGACGAGGGCUGGCCAGGACACCACCGAACGCCAAGCGUUUGCCUCCAUUUGCAGUCUGGGAAGAAGGAAUCAGACUGCCCGUCCCUGCUGGGUCUGUGUGAAUGGCGUCUCUUGGAGAAUCAUUUGGGAGGUUUGUUCAGUGCAGUCCGUAACCACAGUGUGAGGGAAGGCCUCUGAGGUGCGGUGCCUAGGGGCCAGCUUGAUUGCUCCAGCUCUUAUGGCAUUGGAUGCUCACCUUUAGGGAAGAAAAGAAAUAAAGAGACUGAACUGUCUAGACUGGGCGUGUGGCACAGAAUCAGCCAUGGGAUUAGAGAGCCGGCCAACCAAGUGCUGCAAAACGCGGGAAAACAAGAUUCUAGCUGAACCAGGAGAGGAUCUGCAUCACUUUGCUUGAGUAACAAGGGAUGGCUGAGGUUCUUCCAGAAUGAGAGGUGAUGCAAGUCUGUAGGGCCUGCUGGACCAAACCAGUGCUUUUACAGAGGUUGAGUUCCCUUGGGCACAUUGCAAAAGAGAGUCAAAAUAGUUGUGAAGCCCUGACAUUUCAUAACAAUGCGAAGCCAAGGAAAUAUGAGGCUCAGAGUCACUGUGGAUGGGAGGGAAUAUUGUUCAACAUCUGGAGGAGCACAUGCAGUCAUUCUGGAAGACCUAUGUCCUCAGAAAACCUUUCACAUAGAGGAUCACCGGUCUGAGGACACCAGACUGUGCUGUUAUUGUUGUUUGGAGGGAAACCCAGCCUGAGGAAAGGUGGAGUGUGGGACAAGGGUCAGGUGACUGCUCCAGGGGAGAGAAGGGCAGACACUGAGUCCAUAAUCUUCUGUUACCUACAAAAAAAGAGAGGGAAAAUUUGAUUUUUCAUAGAGGUGAUUUAUAGGUGGUUUGCAUCAAUGCAGCAGUGUGGAAAGAAAAUGGAUACAGAUGAGUAUCCCUCCAGCUUGUUGCGAGGCAGAAGUCUAUGGCACAGCAUGUGAGCAGCUCCAUAGUUUCUAGGCUAAACCCAGGAGGAGACUGAAAGAAACAAAUAUGAUGUACUAUGUUCUCCAGUCUCCAGGGGAGAAAGAUCACAGGCUCCAUUUUAGAACCAGCCAAGAGCUAGGGGGAAGCCUUGCCCACACUGGAGCCAGUAACAAAGUUUGGUUGGACCAAAGUUGUCAACUCCAGUGUGAAGGUUCUUCAGGAGGGUAGAGUUAGACUAGAGAUGAGGAAGAAAUUCUUCACUGUGAGGGUGGUGAGGCCCUGGAACAGGUUGCUCAGCAAGGUUGUGAAUGCCCCCUCCCCAGAAGCAUUCAAGGCCAGGCUGGAUGUGGCUUUGAGCAACCUGGUCUAGAGGGAGGUGUCCCUGCCUAUAGCAGGGAGUUGGAACUAGAUGAUCUUAAAGGUCUCUUCCAACCCAAACCACUCUAUGAUUCUAUGAUUCAUGGCUCUGAGGAAAGACAGACAGACCCUAGCUCAGGGUCUGGCUGGAGGAAGGUCACAGCCAUUUGCUUGUGACAGAGACCUUGUCAGCAAACUAUCUGGGAACACAGGCUGGAUCCCUUGGUCAGACUAUGCCUUCUGGAGACGUAAAUAUCUGUUCCAGACAACUUGCAGUGCCUUUGAGCACGUCAAACCUUGAAGUACAGUUGGAGCAGUGAAUAACUCAGUGAGACUACCCAAGUGCCAGCGUGAGACCUUGAGCCAGCUGCAGAAACAGAGCCCUGAGUGUCUGUGAGUGCCAGAACGUCUGAAAAAUGAGAUACAUAUGCAUAUGCACCACAAAGUUUGUCCCAGAUCUGUGGAGAGAGCACCUUGUUACAGCUGCCUGUAGUGUUACACCAACUCAGAAGCACUUUAUUUUUCAUAUGCCUCUGGAAAAAAGGACUUUCUAGUUUGACUACAAAGCACUGACUGCAUGGGACAAGCUGAGCGCACUUGGCACCCUCUGCCAUGCAGAGGAGCUCCCAGUCUCCCUCGCUGACUGAUCCCUCCAUCCCGGCUGUGCUUCCCACCCACGCUGUCAGAAUGAGCAAAGCCAGAGUUCAGUAUCGGCUCGGUUUUAAAUAUCAUUGCUGCAACGGGAAGGAUUUCUUGCUGUCCAUCCUUUCUCUCUGUGGACUCACAGCUCUGAGAUGGAAGACCAGAGAGCUGAAUGCAGAGAGCCGUAUCUUGCCUUUCUUUUUCAGCUCAUCUUGUCCCUGAACAGAGAGACACUCAGUGCUACAUCCAAAGCUCCUAUUCCUGCAGUUGCAGCAUUAUAUAAGUCACCAGGCUUAAGAAUAAAAAUCCAAAUUUGUGUAGCUAUAGAAUAAACCAGCAGUACCCAAACACUGUAACUCUCUGUUGGCAGCAGAGAAGAACAGGACAUGCCAUGGGAAGGCUGAGCCAGCAGAGCUGCAGGUUGCCGCAUCCCAGAGGUGACACCAUCGCAGGGCUUCUGGCCAUCCUUGUGCCAGCACCAGCCUCCUCGGGACGUAGAAGGGGCUGGGUGGCCCUUGGCUGUAUGUGACAGGCGUGGUCCUGCUGCAGAAGCUUCUCUCUCUCUCCUGCAGGGUCAAGCAUCACCAUUUAAUCCUCCUCAUUAAUAAGAAGUGUGAGCAGGAGCCCCUAUCCUUCCCCCACCACCCCGCGUCACGCCUGAGCCUGGUUGCGUGUCUGUGUGUGUGCAUCCCCGUGAGCACGUCCAGGAGCAGACCUAAUCGUUAUCCACGGCCAGAGCAUGAAUAAGAGGAUUUGCUUCCCUUUAAGCAAGUAAUAAUCAACACCCGGUGAGAAGGACUUAUGACCGUUACAUCUCAUUAAUGUGUUUUGACAGACAAUAGCCUCUAUGAAUACACUUUGAAGAAAGACCUGCUUUUGAGAGGACACAGUGUUUGCAAACUCACUUUACUUCUUCAACUCCCUUCGCACUGCUUAGGGAGAAGAGAAGGACUCCAGGUUGGUAUAAAUGCUUGCUGGAACAAGGAAAUGUAUAUGCUGAGCUGCAGCAGCUGGCUUUAUCCAAUGUCGUAUUGCGAUCUCUUGCCUCUUAUUUCUCCAUCCUGAUUCUGAGUGACUGGCAGCUGCAUCUCUCAAGGACCCCACUGCAAGCCUCAUGCAGAAGCAUAAUAAACGUGACUUCCACUCCAAAGAAACUACAGCAAGAGUAGGCGGCGAAACAGAAACAGUGAGAUCAUUAUGGACAGUGUAGCUACUGGAAUGUUUUCUAUGGGAGACCUCUGUAAGUGCCAGGGGCACUGGUUGGGCUCGGCUGGAGGUGCAGAGCUGCAGGCACAGGGCACCUGAGGGAGUUUCAGCCAAAGCAAAAACGGCGGAAGUUAAAUUGGUGUGGCACAGCCUCUGUGGGGGCUGCAAGGCAUGGUUUAUUUGCCAUCUGUGAGGACUGAUUUCUUCUGUACACACAGGUUUACCUGGUGGCCACGUGUGGUGGCCGGGGCCUGCAAGGUUGUUAAAUACAUGGCCGCUGUGUGGAGUAACCUCACGUAAAACAUCUCCUCCUCUACCACUUCUCGUAUCCGUCACUCCGUCCUGCGAAGCUGGAGUGCUUCAUGCUCCAGUCAAACUCCUAGUGAUGCCAGAAGGGCACAUGGAGCACACGUGAAGAGUGAUUUAGUUGGCUAAGACCUCGGGAGGUCAACUGGUCCAACCCAGUGCUCGCGGCAGAGCCAACAGAGACGAGAAGAAACGAGAACCGGCCUCAAAGGAGCAUGCUGAAAACAAGCCUCACCUCCGGCUGACCCUGAACUUUAAAAAUGUCCAUGUCAGAAGCCAGACUGAAUUGCGUGUGUCAGACCCAUUUCUAAUUGGCGGUGUCUUUUAUGUAAUUGCGCUUUCAAGAGCCAGAUAUUAUUAUUACCUGCUGUCAAUGGGCAUCGGCUUUUGGAAAGCACAGUGGCUGACUUUAUGUGUCUGCUUUUAGGAAGGACCUUUCAUCAUUUAUUUGAGACAGGGAACCCUCUGUUUCCCUGUUAUUUAGCAGACGGCGGCCGUGCUGGGCUCUGGGUGCCCGAUGGCACGUCAGCUCUGCCCGGCUCUGUGCCACAGGGCUGCUUUCUGGGCAAGGCCCUUGGUCCCAGGCAAUGUGGCCGGCCCAACGCCUUCCAUCUCCCAAAUGCUGCUGCUCCCGGUUCGCGUGCUGCAGCGCUGUGACUGGCACUCCUCCUUGGGGAGAUAGUGGCACAAAUGCGAUUACACAGGAGAGUGUGUGUUUGUACGGCCUGAGCCUCACCAUCUCUCCCUGUUUCCCGUGCAAAAAUCACAGCAGAGCAAAACCCGAGGCUCGCGGUGCCCCAUGCAGCGCUGCGUGGGAGAAGGAAUAGGAAAGACCGUGUCAUCGUGAAGCUGCGGCCAGGUCCUGCCAUUUCUGCGCCUGACAUUGUGUGCGCUGUUGGACUUCUGGUCACUGUCACCCAGUGCGUCCUGCCAUUUGGCAGGGGGGAGAGCUGGAGCAGGCAGUGCUUCCCAGCAGAUCGUGCCUGGCUGUGGAAAAGCUGAGCGAGAUGACUCACUUUGUGUAAAGGACACCGAAAUUACAACUGCGUGCCACAUGAGAGAUGGUGGCUGGGCUGGAAUCAGAAAACAUCCUCAUCCAGGAAGGGUAUUCAAGCAUGUGCUUAAUUUAAGAACGUACUUAAUCAGGGCCUUCGGGCAUAAAAGGGUAAUGAUUAUUCUUGUGUUGCUGAGAAAAUCCAAGUGACAUCCGGAAGAUCUAUUACUCUGGAAAAUUCAGUGUUAUUCCAGCGUCCUCAUUUCAUCUUUCAAUUUCUGAAAAAGUAAUUCUUUUAAUUCCUCAUUGCUAUCUAGUGCUGUGAGUUCCUUCGCAGCUGUUUUACCCUCGAUUGUUAAUGUCAAGUGGAAUCAGAAAAUAUAAUCUGGUUCAGAUAAUAAUUAUGGAAGAUCAAUCCCGCAUCCGCCGCUUCCCUCCAUCCCCAUUAAACUUCCCAGCAUGUAAGAUAUGCAUGCUUGGCUCUGCAGGGAAGGCCAGCCAUGGUAAAAGGACCUUUAUUCCCUCUUGUACUCACAGUUUAACCAUUUCAAAACACCAUCUCCAUCCCCAGUGUUUUUCAUUGUGUUCGUUCCCAACUUCUUCUCUACGUAAUAUGUAAUUCCUGCAGAGAUUAGGUAUGGCGUUUGUGAUUUUAAGUAUGCUACAUGUAUUUGUUUUCUUUACAUUAUCAAGUGACUGUCUUCAUUAGCAGAUAAUUAGCACCCAUCAGAGUCCCAGAGUUGUCCCAAAGAAGCGGGCCAACCGGAGUGGCCUUGGCUUCUCCUGGUAAACGACUUUGGACACCGCUGUACCACGGGGUUCUGAAAGGGGCUUGGGAAGCUGGGACACAGGUGGCUUUCCCACCCCCUCCCUUGGGAGAUAUCCAGCCUGCUGCUCGUGGGCAGGGCCUCAUCUGUGAGGUACUUUUAAGAUACCAUACAAAAAUAAAUAGAGGUACGUGUUUUAAGACUGAUUCUUGGUCUUGGAGAUAAGCAAGGGCUGUCAUCGGCUACAGUGCAAGUGUGCUUGUUCAUUUAUUGACUUUGGGUUAAAUCAUGUUCUUCUUCCUUGGGUAAUUACUCCCCCUGAAUCCAAUAUGACUGUCGGGAUGAAUAAAACCAGUGGAAUUUGGCCCCUUUUGGGAGACAGCAAUCAUAGAUCUAGUUGCCAGCCCAAAGCCAGAUGCUAGAAGCAGUGCUGAGGCUUUCCUGGAGGAAAAAAAUGGAGCAUAGGACUAGGGGGAUGGCGGCUUCCAGAAGAACAGGAAAAUCCAACUGAAUUUAACUGUAAUAGUUAUUAUUACGAUGGGCGUUAACUAGGCAUCGGGAAGGUGUGUUCUCCUCUGCCCCCACUGAUGUUCCUCACACAGCCCAUCCCUCUCAAAGAUGUGCUUAAGUACACUUAUGAGUGGAUUCUGUCUGAAGACAGGGUGCACAAGCAAGUGCAAGCUACCACAAGCAUGUUUUAUCACACCGAUGAUGGUGACAAAAUGUCUUGGUCAGGGGCUAUGGAUACAGAGUACAGUAUGCAACACUACUAAGGAAGAGGGGAUUUUUUCAGCUGUUUUCACCUCUGCUUUCUUUUCAUUUUGCUUUUUUGAACAAUGUGUCUUAAUCUAGCUCUAUGGAGGUAGGGUGAGAGUUAUGUGUGCGAGAAGUGCCUGAAAUCACUUUGUUUCUGCUUGUCUUUCAUACGUUCAGUAGGAUAAAUAACUGCCGAG
ensembl:lncRNA